rnacentral:rRNA from 1 species
CUUCGGCCCGAGUUGUAAUUUGCAGAGGAUGUUUAUGGUGCGGUACCUUCCGAGUUCCCUGGAACGGGACGCCACAGAGGGUGAGAGCCCCGUCUGGUUGGAUACCAAACCUGUGUUAAACUCCUUCAACGAGUCGAGUAGUUUGGGAAUGCUGCUCUAAAUGGGAGGUAAAUCUCUUCUAAAGCUAAAUACCGGCCAGAGACCGAUAGCGCACAAGUAGAGUGAUCGAAAGAUGAAAAGCACCUUGAAAAGGGGGUUAAACAGUACGUGAAAUUGUUAAAAGGGAAGCGUUUAUGACCAGACUUGUGUCGUGUGGCUCAUCCGAGGUUCUCCCCGGUGCACUCCACACGGCUCAGGCCAACAUCGGUUCUCGUUGGGGGAUAAGAACAGUAGGAACGUGGCCCUCUUCGGAGGGUGUUAUAGCCUGCUGUACGAUACCCUGAUGGGGACCGAGGACCGCGCUUCGGCUAGGAUGUUGGCGUAAUGGUCAUUAGCGACCCGUCUUGAAACACGGACCAAGGAGUCGUCCAUUAGAGCGAGCGUUUGGGUGUAAAACCCGCACGCGUAAUGAAAGUGAAAUUAGGUGAGAGCUUCGGCGCAUCAUCGACCGAUCCUGAAGUUUACGGAUGGAUUUGAGUAAGAGUUUUAACGGACGGACCCGAAAGACAGUGAACUAUGCUUGAAUAGGGUGAAGCCAGAGGAAACUCUGGUGGAGGCUCGCAGCGGUUCUGACGUGCAAAUCGAUCGUCAAAUUGAGCAUGGGGGCGAAAGACUAAUCGAACUG